rnacentral:rRNA from 1 species
GCACCAUUCUCGAGUGCUGUGCAAUGGUGGGGUGAGUGGCAGCUGCACGUCCUGGCUCUGGGCAGCCUUGUCAUCCAGUACUUCCUCGCUAUUUUUGCCGGCUGCCGCAAGGAUGAAUCACCGCCGUGGUUCAGAUUUCUCACCUGGCUCGCGUUCCUGGGGAGUGACGCCGUGGCGAUAUAUGGCCUCGCCACGCUCUUCAACCGGCAAAGGUGCCAGCAGCUACGCAGCUCUGCCCAGGAAAGCCAUGCUCUGCAGGUGCUUUGGGCACCUAUCUUGCUGAUGCACCUUGGCGGGCAGGUCGUCAUAACAGCCUAUAAUCUCGAAGAUAACGAGCUAUGGAGGCGGCACAUCGUUACCGCGCUAUCUCAGAAAUUAUAUCUGAGAAAAUAUAAUUAG